UCCUGGUGACUCAGACAGUAAAGAAUCUGCCUGCAAUGCAGAAGACCUGGGUUCAGUCCCUGGAUCAGGAA
rnacentral:tRNA from 1 species